rnacentral:pre_miRNA from 1 species
ACCGUCCGCCGUGAGGUCACCGAGGAGACCGGCUACCGGAUCCGGGUGACCGGCCUCCUCGGCGUCGACUCCUUCCGGCGGACCGG